rnacentral:rRNA from 1 species
AGCAGCCGCGGUAAUACGUAGAGUGCAAGCGUUGUCCGGAAUCAUUGGGCGUAAAGGGUACGCAGGCGGAUAUACAAGUCAAAUGUGAAAGGUGUAGGCUUAACCUACAGACUGCGUUUGAAACUGUAUAUCUUGAGAGCAGCAGAGGAAGGCGGAAUUCCUGGUGUAGUGGUGAAAUACGUAGAUAUCAGGAAGAACACCAGUGGCGAAGGCGGUCUUCUGGGCUGCAUCUGAGCGCUCAUGUACGAACGCUGGGGUAGCCGAACGGGAUURGAUACCCCGGUAGUCCCAAGCUGUAAACGAUGGACAVUAGAUGUUGGAGGUUCGAAUCCUUCAGUGCCGGAG